AAUGAACGCUGGCGGCAUGCCUAACACAUGCAAGUCGAACGAAGGCUUCGGCCUUAGUGGCGCACGGGUGCGUAACGCGUGGGAAUCUGCCCCUUGGUUCGGAAUAACAGUUAGAAAUGACUGCUAAUACCGGAUGAUGACGUAAGUCCAAAGAUUUAUCGCCGAGGGAUGAGCCCGCGUAGGAUUAGCUAGUUGGUGUGGUAAGAGCGCACCAAGGCGACGAUCCUUAGCUGGUCUGAGAGGAUGAUCAGCCACACUGGGACUGAGACACGGCCCAGACUGCGGGGGGAGGCGGGGGGGGGGAAGAUGGGAGGAGGGACGAGAGGCCGGCGGAGCAGGGUGGGGGGAGGAAUGAAGGCAUGAGUGGUGUAGAGCUUUGUUGCGAGGGAUGAAAAGGACAGUACAGGAAAAAUCGGCGCCGGCUAAACCCGUGCAAGCAGAGGCGAUAAUACGCGGAGGAGAACACGUAUGAGU
rnacentral:rRNA from 1 species